rnacentral:rRNA from 1 species
GAUGAACGCUAGCUACAGGCUUAACACAUGCAAGUCGAGGGGAAACGAUAUUGGAAGCUUGCUUCUGAUAGGCGUCGACCGGCGCACGGGUGAGUAACGCGUAUCCAACCUGCCCAUCACUUGGGGAUAACCUUGCGAAAGUAAGACUAAUACCCAAUGACGUCUCUAGAAGACAUCUGAAAGAGAUUAAAGAUUUAUCGGUGAUGGAUGGGGAUGCGUCUGAUUAGCUUGUUGGCGGGGUAACGGCCCACCAAGGCGACGAUCAGUAGGGGUUCUGAGAGGAAGGUCCCCCACAUUGGAACUGAGACACGGUCCAAACUCCUACGGGAGGCAGCAGUGAGGAAUAUUGGUCAAUGGACGAGAGUCUGAACCAGCCCAAGUAGCGUGCAGGAUGACGGCCCUAUGGGUUGUAAACUGCUUUUAUAAGGGAAUAAAGUGGGAGUCGUGACUCUUUUUGCAUGUACCUUAUGAAUAAGGACCGGCUAAUUCCGUGCCAGCAGCCG